rnacentral:sRNA from 1 species
UUCAACGGUUACAGAAGAUGAAAAACUGUAACUGGGAUUAAAAUGGGAACAUUUGAAAAAAAGAAUAAAUUGAAUAAUUCUUCCAAGUGGUUUACAUUUGGACAAAAAAAAGACCGUAGUUAAAAGCUGC